rnacentral:rRNA from 1 species
UACAGAGGGUGCAAGCAUUAAUCGGAUUUAUUGGGCGUAAAGGGCGCGUAGGCGGGAUUGCAAGUCAGAUGUGAAAUCCUGGAGCUCAACUCCAGAACAGCAUUUGAAACUACAAUUCUUGAGGGUAGGCGGAGAAAUUGGAAUUCCACGUGUAGCGGUGAAAUGCGUAGAUAUGUGGAAGAACACCAGUGGCGAAGGCGAAUUUCUAGCUUAUACCUGACGCUGAGGCGCGAAAGCAAGGGGAUCAAACAGG